UCGGGAAUUUUGGGCAAUGGGGGCAACCCUGAUCCAGCCAUGCCGCGUGAGUGAAGAAGGCCUUCGGGUUGUAAAGCUCUUUCGGCGGGGACGAAACGGUCCGUGACAACACCACGGACUAAUGACAGUACUCGCAGAAGAAGCACCGGCUAACUACGUGCCAGCAGCCGCGGUAAUACGUAGGGUGCAGGCGUUAAUCGGAAUUACUGGGCGUAAAGCGUGCGCAGGCGGCUCCUUAAGUCAGAUGUGAAAUCCCCGGGCUUAACCUGGGAACUGCGUUUGAAACUGAGGGGCUAGAGUGUGGAAGAGGGGGGUGGAAUUCCAGGUGUAGCAGUGAAAUGCGUAGAGAUCUGGAGGAACACCGAUGGCGAAGGCAGCCCCCUGGGCUAACACUGACGCUCAUGCACGAAAGCGUGGGGAGCAAACAGGAUUAGAUACCCACGUAGUCCCUGAGCGGGCUGGCAAGGCGCAU
rnacentral:rRNA from 1 species